rnacentral:rRNA from 1 species
GCCUACGGGACGCAGCAGUGGGGAAUAUUGCCCAAUGGGGGAAACCCUGAUGCAGCGACGCCGCGUGAGUGAAGAAGUAAUUCGUUAUGUAAAGCUCUAUCAGCAGGGAAGAAAAUGACGGUACCUGAGUAAGAAGCCCCGGCUAACUACGUGCCAGCAGCCGCGGCAAUACGAAGGGGGCAGGCGUUAUCCGGAUUUACUGGGUGUAAAGGGAGCGUAGACGGUAGUGCAAGUAUGCAGUGGUAGACGGGGG